rnacentral:lncRNA from 1 species
AAAAUAACGGUGAGGUAGUGGGCGUUAAAUGGCUAUGAAUGACAUGAAAUAGGCUUUUUAGCUUUAACGGUUUUGUCUUCUCUUCUCCCUCUUUACUUCUCUUUAUGAUCACUAUAAUCCCACAAUCAAUUCUUCAAUAAAAUCCGUCAGCAAUUCUCUUCACACCUGGCUUGAACUUGGACAAAUGUAUGUCUUCAUCUUUUGGCUUUCCG